rnacentral:lncRNA from 1 species
GUAGAACCCCCUUUGCCUUUCCCACUAUACAACAGUGAAGUAAGUGAGAAAACUCUUCACUAGUAACACCAUUGCAGGAUCUAUCCCUCAAUCUCUUGAUAUUUAGAUGCUCACUUUUGAUUUUUGUUCAAGUCUUUCGCAUCACUUGAAACUUGCAGCUACUUGGAAUCCUCUGCCACCGAUUUUUCAGGACUUAUCCUCCAAUAUGAUGAUCUUCCACCAAAUCUCCCCAUAUUAACUCCGAUACAGUGGCCAAA